UACAGAGGCCUCGAGCGUUAGGCGGAAUCACUGGGCUUAAAGCGUGUGUAGGCGGACUUCUAAGUACCUUGUGAAAUCCCACGGCUUACCCGUGGAACGGCUGGGUAUACUGGUUGUCUUGAGCCACUUAGGGGCUACCGGAACAAAUGGUGGAGCGGUGAAAUGGGUAGAUAUCAUUUGGAACGCCAAUGGUGAAAACAGGUAGCUGGGAGUGUGCUGACGCUGAGACACGAAAGCCAGGGGAGCGAACGGG
rnacentral:rRNA from 1 species